rnacentral:rRNA from 1 species
GACGAACGCUGGCGGCGUGCUUAACACAUGCAAGUCGAGCGGUAAGGCCCUUUCGGGGGUACACGAGCGGCGAACGGGUGAGUAACACGUGGGUGACCUGCCCUCAGCUCUGGGAUAAGCCUGGGAAACCGGGUCUAAUACUGGAUAUGACUCCAUGACGCAUGUUGUGGGGUGAAAGCCUUGUGCGGCUGAGGAUGGGCCCGCGGCCUAUCAGCUUGUUGGUGGGGUGANGGCCUACCAAGGCGACGACGGGUAGCCGGCCUGAGAGGCGACCGGCCACACUGGGACUGAGACACGGCCCAGACUCCUACGGGAGGCAGCAGUGGGGAAUCUUGCGCAAUGGGCGAAAGCCUGACGCAGCGACGCCGCGUGAGGGAUGACGGCCU